UACGGAGGGGGCUAGCGUUGUUCGGAAUUACUGGGCGUAAAGCGCACGUAGGCGGCUUUGUAAAUUAGAGGUGAAAGCCCGGGGCUCAACUCCGGAAUUGCCUUUAAGACUGCAUCGCUAGAAUUGUGGAGAGGUAAGUGGAAUUCCGAGUGUAGAGGUGAAAUUCGUAGAUAUUCGGAAGAACACCAGUGGCGAAGGCGACUUACUGGACACAUAUUGACGCUGAGGUGCGAAAGCGUGGGGAGCAAACAGG
rnacentral:rRNA from 1 species